rnacentral:ncRNA from 1 species
UAAUUAAAGUUUUAUUCUAGCUUAAUUUUUUACUAUAUUCUUUAUUUUCAUACAAGUUUUAGCUUUUUAUUUUUAAAUAAUAAUUUUAAGUAGUGAUUGAUUUUAGGUUUUUAGUUAUUUAAGAUCUAGAAAUGAAUUAGUAAUUCUGACUAAAUUUGUGCCAGCAGUCGCGGUUAAACAAAUAGUGUUAGUAAAAAUUUUUGGUUAACAGUUAAUUUUAUAUUCUGAUUAGAUAAUAUUUUAGAUUUUUAGGUGAAAUUUUAAUUUUAAUUUUUAUCUUUAUUAAUGAGGCUGUUAAAUUUAUUUUUAAACUAGGAUUAGAUACCCUAUUAUUUUAAAUGUAAAUAUUUUACCGGGUUAGUAUUAGUUAUUUUCUUGAAAACAAAAGAAUUUGGCGGUAUUUUAAUCUUUUCAGAGGAACCUGCCCCGUAAUUGAUAAUCCACGAUUAGAUUUACUAGUAUAAUAUUUUAUAGCUUGUAUAUCGUCGUAGUUGAUUUUUUUAAAAGAAUUAUUAAUGGUCAAUGUUCUUAAUUAAGAAGGAAAUCAGAUCAAGAUGCAGCAAUAUAUUGGUGGAGGUGGGUUACAAUAAAUUUAUUUAGAUGGUUAAAAUUUUUUAAAGGUUUUAUAAAGUGGAUUUGAAAGUAAUUUUUAAUUGUUUUUUAUAAAUGAUUUAGCUCUAAAAUAUGCACAUAUCGCCCGUCGCUUCCAUAAAAGUGGAAUAAGUCGUAACAAAGUAGACGUACUGGAAAGUGUGUCUAGAAAGAC